GAUGGGAUGGGCGGUUUCUGCCGCCUCUACCACCACCUCUGCUACCUCAGAGCCUGCCGCCGCUGCCGUCGCCGCCGCCACCCCUUCCUCCUCCCCCGCCGCCGCCUCCUCCUUCUCCGGCCCCUCGGCCACCUCUACACGACCCAGGCCCUCUGUCCUUGAGAGGAAUCCGUAUUCAGUCUCCUUCGCGGGCCCGGGGCGCAGCCAUGGCGGACGGCGGGGGCGGGGGGGGCACCGGCGCGGUGGGCGGCGGCGGCGCCGGCCAGGCCUCGGCGGGGGCGACGACAGGCGCGACGGGGGCCGGUGGGAGCGGCGGCCCCAUCAACCCGGCCUCACUGCCUCCCGGUGACCCGCAGCUCAUCGCGCUCAUCGUGGAGCAGCUCAAGAGCCGGGGGCUGUUUGACAGCUUCCGCCGGGACUGCCUGGCCGACGUGGACACCAAGUGCAUCCAAAAUAUAAACAAACAGAACAAACUGAUAGGUGAAGAAGAGACGGAGAUAGUGAUACCAGCUUACCAAAACCUGAGGCAGAAAGUGGAUAAUUUUGUGUCAACACAUCUGGACAAGCAGGAGUGGAAUCCUACGAUGAACAAAAACCAAUUGCGAAAUGGUCUGAGACAGAGUGUGGUUCAGCUCCUGACAAGAUCCUGUUUUCUCCAAACACUUUUAAAAUCUCCAAGAAAGGGAGCUACACUCUUGGUCAGGGAUGUUGGAAGCUGGAGUGGACAGAAUUAUUUCCCAGGUGGUGGAUCCCAAACUAAACCACAUCUUCAGGCCACAGAUAGAACGAGCAAUUCACGAGUUCCUGGCGGCCCAGAAAAAAGAAGCUGUGCCAGCACCCCCUCCAGAGCCUGAAAGCCAGGACCCUCCAGCUCCAUCCCAGGAUGCUUCCUAAGAAUAUGCCUGACACGUUUUGGAAGCUCCAUUGAAUUAAUGGUGAAGAACUGGAUUCAGUUACAUAAGAGUACAACUUCAGAGUGAAGACAGGCCAAGGUCGUCACUGACUUCACAAUUCAACAUUGACUGUGGGGCGGUGUCCAGAUAAAGUAGAGAGCAAGUGGGCCAGUAGGAGAAUUGACCAUGUGGGCCCCACCUCGUGCUGCCGUCUGGCCAGCCUGUCCAAGGGGUGACACCCAGUAGACACUACAGAUACAUUAAGAAACACUACAUCAACUUGGGGUUGUCCUGAAACAAACCUUUGUACUUGAACUUAGAGACUGUGUAUGAAUUUUAGGGUUUGUGCUUGGGGAUAAGCAACAGCUACAAUGAAGGAACAUAACCAGUCCCAAAGAUGCAAUUUCAAGGAAUGACAGUAAAGGUUAGCCAGGAGUAGGUAUUUGACAAUGCUUAUUUGAUACUGUUUCUCAGAGUUUCAAAUAAGAGUGUACAGGCCAUUAGCAUCAAAUAGCUUUAAGGUUGUUGUGACCCUCUUGUCCAUGACUCUUUAGCUUCCGUUUCCUUUCCCCUGUAAGAGGUGUCAAAACAUGGGACCCUAGAAUGCAUGAGGAAAUGUAGACUUAGGUAUAAGGAAAAAUAUUUGCAGGCUCUCUGUCCAGGGCUUCUUCCUAUCCUGCAAGGGCUAGUGAGUCUUCGGUGUGUUUAUUUUAUUCUCAUGUUUGUGUUUUUUAGAAGGUGAAUAAUUAAUAAGUGGCUUAAGUUUUGUAAUUAAAUCAUUUGAUACUCUGAAGCUUCGACUAAUUCUUAGACCCCAGGUGCGCAGUGUAACCUUUUUCCUCGGCCUGCAUGCCAUUCCUGUGCACAACAGGACUUAAUGGCAGUGAAGGACUGGUAGACAUGCCUUGGAAGUACCGUCGUCCUGCAGCUAGUGGGUGUAGCUGGAAGUGAGCAAGACGUUCCUCUCUUCCCCAGACUGUUCCUGAUGCCAGUCUUUAGUUGAGCGUAGUGUGUUCUAUCAGUGUUUCCCAAACUUGUUUGUGGAAGUGUCACCUGGGGAUUUUAAGAAAAAAAUGCAUAAUCUGAUUCAGAAGUCCUGGGAGGACCUGAGAGCGUUUCUGACAGGUUCCAGGUGAUGACUCGGCAUUUUGCAUCCCAAGCCUUGGAUGAUACCAAAAAUUACUUCAACUAAGUGUCUUUCGUUUUUAGUUGAGUCUACUCCUGGAUAUUGUUACUCAAACUUUAACCUGUUUAGACUUGCACCUUUACCAUCAAUACCUGUAAGUUAGGACUGCACUUCCAUAUUUAGCAAGAUGUUCGGGCAACAUGUGCCCUGAGUUUAAAAGCAAGCUGACCACAUGUUUAGGGCAGGCGGCAGUUACUUCUAAAGUGUGUUCUGCUUCCAGCUGAAACAGGUUGGUGUCCUUUUCAGUUUGGGAUUCAACUACCAAGUCCUCAGUACCCGGAGAAGGGCCCCUCUAGUCCUCUUCACUCCGCUAAUAGGUAAACAUGGAAUGACCAGUCUUACCAGUCCUAUGCUCUGCAAGGAAGCUUCUCAGACUAGUAUCCCCUCUUCAAGACCAUGAGCCUCCUUCCCUGGGAGGCCUCUGCCACCGGAGGGAGGCCUCAGCAGAGCCCCUUUCUGUCAACCCAGCCAAAAUCCUGCCCAUCCAACACUGACCUCAACCCAGUGACAGGGCAGAAUAGAGCAACCCAGGGAAGGUGGCCUUCUGCCCACAAAUGCCCAAGUGACUGUUGUGUAUGCUUUUUGGCAGACAGUUUUUCGUCCAUCUCAGUUCUCUUUUUUUCCAUUACUAGAGAAGAGUGUACCAGUUGAUGAGAAACACCAUAAUUUUCACAGAAUGUUAAAUAGGCCAAGAUACCAAGGAGUUUUGUUCUUUUUUUUAAAUCGGUGUUAUAUCCACUAAGUCACUGUAGACUAGAGGUAAUUUUUUCAAAUGAAAUCAUCAGAUGACAGGAGUAACUAAACUCAUCACUACUUUUGGGACAGAGGGUUGACUUUGACUCUUAGCUGAGCCAAGGUGAAAUGGAAGUAGUGCCCAUAUGCCCUUGAGUAAAUGUGGUUAGAUCGGCAGGCCGGGAAAAGGAGACCAGACAAACAGCACCAGAGGGGCUGGGGAGCCCCGAGCCACCUCUGCGCUCUCAAUAAUGGGUCACCCGCGAAGCCUAUUUGCAUUCUCAGUGGAGUCCUCAUGCUUGUGUAUUAGGUUAGGUGUGCAGAGCCUAGAAAAUCCGUGUGUUCUGAGAUAAAGUAGAAGAAUUCCUCCCUGAGGAGGAUGAGGCCACCCAAAAAUAUCUCAUCCUGAAACACCCUUGCUAUAUUCACUCCUAAACAAGAAACUAGUUGUCUCAGACCUCAAGGCUUCUCUCCCUAUAGUUGGAAAAACCAGUGCCAUUUGCAAAAACCUCGUGAAGCACAGAACUAGCCUUUGUAAGACAUCACCAAAUAUUACCAACCUUUAGAAGCCAUCAAAGCCUUAGAGUCACGGGGAUAAGAAGAACCCCAUGCUCAUUUUUGUAGUCCAUUUCUUUGACCUGGGGCAGUGUCUACAAUUACUACUGGAGACGUUGCCCCCAGCGUGUUCCCAGUUACUAGCCUAAGUGCUUGACUGGUAUUGCCAAACCAUCAUGUCCACCUAGUCAUGACUGUCUAACUCCUUCCUGGCUUGUAGUGAAGUUUGUGGCUCCUAGAUCAGAUUUUCAAUCGUUGUUUCAUCCUAUUUCUGUUGUUUAACAUUAACUUCUGUUUACUCAUCAGGGGAUGGAUGUCAGGAUUCCCAUGCAUUCUGGAACACUCAUUAGCACUGUGGACUGAAUAAAUAACUAGCAGAUUCAUUACAGCAGUGCUCCUGAAAGCAUACCACCCAACCACCAGCAAGCAUCAUCAGUAUCACCCUGGAACUGUUAGAAAUGCAGCCCUGAUCCCAGAUCUACUGAUUCACAGACUUGGAGGAGGGGCCAACAAGCCUUCCAGAUGAUUCUGAUGCACACUAAAAAUCAUUUUCACUUUAGGAAAACUUUGGAAAUACGCGGGCCUCUCACUGCUGUGGCCUCUCCUGUUGCGGAGCACAGGCUCCGGACGCGCAGGCUCAGCGGCCAUGGCUCACGGGCCCAGCUGCUCCGCGACAUGUGGGAUCUUCCCGGACCGGGGCACGAACCCGUGUCCCCUGCAUCAUCAGGCAGACUCAACCACUGCGCCACCAGGGAAGCCCAAUUACCGAUAUUUUUAAAUGGGGAGAUUUCCAUAUAGAUUUGUAUUUCUGGCUCCUAAAGGAGAAUGUCAAGGUUUGGAAACACUUUCAUAUUCCCACUGGCUAACAAACAGCCCAAGUUUGAGAGCAGCUCACCAUUUCAGAUGAGUGGGACAUGCAGAUGCCACUGGCUGGCUUCACCCAUUUCCAUCACCC